rnacentral:rRNA from 1 species
GCGCGAAAACUCCUCAAUGCGCGAAAGCGUGAAGGGGGAACUCUGAGUGGUCUCUUUCGGGAGACCUUUUAUGGAGUCUAAUGCGCUUCAUGAAUAAGGAGUGGGUAAGACCAGUGCCAGCCGCCGCGGUAAUACUGGCACUACUAGUGGUAUCCACGCAUAUUGGGUCUAAAGCGCUCGUAGCCGGCCCUCUAAGUCAUUGGUGAAAUCCUUCGGCUCAACCGAAGGAAUUGCCUAUGAUACUAUUGGGCUUGAGAGUGGGGGAGGUCAGAGGUACACUUGGGGUAGGGGUUAAAUCCGUUAAUCCCAGGUGGACCAGCAGUGGCGUGACCUUUCUUUGGGAUGCCAAGAAAGCUCAACCAAAGAAAAGUCCCAUAAAAGGCGUCUGACCAAAACACGUCUGACGGUGAGGAGCGAAGGCUAGGGGAGCAAACGGGAUUAGAUACCCCGGUAGUCCUAGCUGUAAAUGAUGCAGACUUGGUGUUGCAGCGACUUAGAGUCUCUGCAGUGCCGUAGCGUAGAGUUUUCUUUUGGGGUGCCAAAGAAACCUCGUAAAGAAAAUGCGUUAGUGUUAAGUCUGCCACCUGGGGAGUACGGCCGCAAGGCUAAAACUUAAAGGAAUUGGCGGGGGAGCACCACAAGGCGUGGAGGCUGCGGUUCAAUUGGAUUCAACGCCGGGAAUCUUACUGGGAGCGACGGCAGGAUGAGAGCCAGGCUGAAGACCUUGCUUAACAAGCC